rnacentral:rRNA from 1 species
CACGUAGGGUGCGAGCGUUGUCCGGAAUUAUUGGGCGUAAAGAGCUCGUAGGCGGUGUGUCGCGUCGGCCGUGAAAACCUGCAGCUUAACUGUGGGCUUGCGGUCGAUACGGGCAUCACUGGAGUUCGGCAGGGGAGACUGGAAUUCCUGGUGUAGCGGUGAAAUGCGCAGAUAUCAGGAGGAACACCUGAGGUGAAGACGGGUUGCUGGGCUGACACUGACGCUGAGGCGCGAAAGCUAGGGUAGCAAACGGG